AGUGAACGCUGGCGGUAGGCCUAACACAUGCAAGUCGAACGGCAGCACAGUAAGAGCUUGCUCUUACGGGUGGCGAGUGGCGGACGGGUGAGGAAUACAUCGGAAUCUACUUUUUCGUGGGGGAUAACGUAGGGAAACUUACGAUAAUACCGCAUACGACCUACGGGUGAAAGCAGGGGAUCUUCGGACCUUGCGCGAUUGAAUGAGCCGAUGUCGGAUUAGCUGGUUGGCGGGGUAAAGGCCCACCAAGGCGACGAUCCGUAGCUGGUCUGAGAGGAUGAUCGGCACACCGGAAACGAGACAACGGUCAGGACUCCAACGGAGGGAACAGGUGGGAAAUAUUGGACAAUGGGGGAAAGCCUACGCCACCCAUACGGCGUGGGUGAAGAGGGCUUUCGGGUUGUAAAGCCCUUUUGUUGGGAAAAAAAAGCAGCAGGUUAAUACCCCGCUGUUCGGACGGUACCAAAAGAAUAAGCACCGGCAAACUUCGU
rnacentral:rRNA from 1 species